rnacentral:tRNA from 1 species
GGUCCUUUGGCUCAGUUGGUUAGGGCUGCCGGCUCAUAACUGAUUGGCCGUUGGUUCAAGCCCAGCAAGGGCCACCA